rnacentral:rRNA from 1 species
UGCAAGUCGAGCGGUAGAGAGGUGCUUGCACCUCUUGAGAGCGGCGGACGGGUGAGUAAUGCCUAGGAAUCUGCCUGGUAGUGGGGGAUAACGUUCGGAAACGAACGCUAAUACCGCAUACGUCCUACGGGAGAAAGCAGGGGACCUUCGGGCCUUGCGCUAUCAGAUGAGCCUAGGUCGGAUUAGCUAGUUGGUGAGGUAAUGGCUCACCAAGGCGACGAUCCGUAACUGGUCUGAGAGGAUGAUCAGUCACACUGGAACUGAGACACGGUCCAGACUCCUACGGGAGGCAGCAGUGGGGAAUAUUGGACAAUGGGCGAAAGCCUGAUCCAGCCAUGCCGCGUGUGUGAAGAAGGUCUUCGGAUUGUAAAGCACUUUAAGUUGGGAGGAAGGGUUGUAGAUUAAUACUCUGCAAUUUUGACGUUACCGACAGAAUAAGCACCGGCUAACUCUGUGCCAGCAGCCGCGGUAAUACAGAGGGUGCAAGCGUUAAUCGGAAUUACUGGGCGUAAAGCGCGCGUAGGUGGUUCGUUAAGUUGGAUGUGAAAGCCCCGGGCUCAACCUGGGAACUGCAUUCAAAACUGUCGAGCUAGAGUAUGGUAGAGGGUGGGUGGAAUUUCCUGUGUAGCGGUGAAAUGCGUAGAUAUAGGAAGGAACACCAGUGGCGAAGGCGACCACCUGGACUGAUACUGACACUGAGGUGCGAAAGCGUGGGGAGCAAACAGGAUUAGAUACCCUGGUAGUCCACGCCGUAAACGAUGUCAACUAGCCGUUGGGAGCCUUGAGCUCUUAGUGGCGCAGCUAACGCAUUAAGUUGACCGCCUGGGGAGUACGGCCGCAAGGUUAAAACUCAAAUGAAUUGACGGGGGCCCGCACAAGCGGUGGAGCAUGUGGUUUAAUU